UUACUCAGAAACCUCACCCAUAACACAUGGCUGUAAAAACCUGCUCGCCUUUCAACUUUUAAGGAGCAGAGCAGGUUUCCGGAGGAACCAGACUCAAGGGGAGCCCCAGGGAAGAGCCAAAGCAGCUGGGAAUUUGAUACCCCGGUGCUCCAAAGCUAAAAGAAGAAUUAGAAGAAAGCUGCAUGAAUAAAGAUGGGAUCCUUCAUGAUACAGAAAAGACCUCAGCAGAGCAGUACGAAAGAGAAGCAGCUAAGAGGGAAAAGGAUUCUCUUGAGCAAAAGAUUAAAGAGCUGCUACAAAUGUUAGAGAACCAAGAAAGAGCCUUCAAGAUAUUUAGAGUCAAAAUCACCAGCAAGAUGAGAGAAAGAGACAAGCUUCUGAGAAGGAUGAACAAGAGGAUUGAGAGGCUGGAGAUCUUAAGAAAGAUAAGGGAAGAACAAGAGGAAUACUACAUGAAGAAAGGUGAGGAGUGGAGAGAGCCUCAAGAAAGGGUGGAUAUAUGUAUAUGUAUAUGUGUAUAUAUAUAA
rnacentral:lncRNA from 1 species